AAGUCGUAACAAGGUUUCCGUAGGUGAACCUGCGGAAGGAUCAUUAACGAGGGGGCGUCUGGCCGAUCGAAAGCUCGUGCCAGGCGCUCUAUAGGCCACAUCGGUGUCUAGCCGGUGUCCUACAAACGACAACGUGCACCGUAUAUAUGCAUUUGCGUAAUUUUCUAUCUGUUCGUCUGAUGUUUACAUUCUCUGAUUUUGGCCUCGACGCCGAAUGACUGAAAAUAAAAACAACUUUUAACAAUGGAUCUCUUGGCUCUC
rnacentral:misc_RNA from 1 species